UGUGUGAGAACUCGCUACUUUGGAAGAAGACAUUACAUCUCAUGUUCCUGACAUUUACAUGUUUGCUGCAAUCAAGACACUAAAUAAACAUUAAACAAAACUACUAAACAACAAAAAGGCAUGUUUAUACAGUAUAACAUAAUGGAAUAUUAGUUAUCAGAGCUACCCGGUUCCCUACAGCAGAUUCAAAGAGAGAGAGACUGGUAUACAAAAAUAGUAUCUCAGUAUAUUAUCACAAUCAGAAUGGAUAAAAUAUUGGGUAACACUUUACUUGACAGUAUCGACAUAAGAGUGACUGAACACACUGUCAUGAACACAUGACACUGUCAUGACACAUGAAACCUAACCCUAAUCCUAACCUCUAACCCAGGGGUGGGACACUAAUUUCCACAAGGGGCCACAUGACAAACUGUGACAGUUGAGGAUGGCCGGACCCAAAAUACCAAACUCAAGUCUGUUCAAUUCUAUUCUGUUCUUGUAUAACAUCAAGUAAAUCAUAUGGUUUUGGUUACUACUCGCAAGAAAAGAUGGAAAUGUGAGGGAGAGGAAGUAAAAACGUCAACAUUUAAUCUAUGUCCAGUAUUUAAUCCUCUCAAAUUCUCAAAAAGAUUUUUUGACAUUCACAUGGGUUUUUUUUUAGUUUUCAAAGACUGAUACAAAAAAGUAGGCUACAAUAUCUAUAUAAUUAGGCUAGGCCAUGAAAAUGUGAAGGAGUCAGUACAACCAUAGGCCUGUGCCACCAUUUGAUCAACACUCAGCAAUAUUUCUAAGACUAUCAUUAAAUCAUCACCAUCAU